UACGAAGGGGGGCUAGCGUUGCUCGGAAUCACUGGGCGUAAAGGGUGCGCAGGCGGCGUCGCAAGUCAGGCGUGAAAUCCCCGGGCUUAACCUGGGAACUGCACUUGAAACUACGAUGCUGGAGUAUGGCAGAGGGAGGUGGAAUUCCACGUGUAGCGGUGAAAUGCGUAGAGAUGUGGAGGAACACCGAUGGCGAAGGCAGCCUCCUGGGCCAAUACUGACGCUCAUGCACGAAAGCGUGGGGAGCAAACAGG
rnacentral:rRNA from 1 species